UACGUAGGGGGCGAGCGUUGUCCGGAUUUAUUGGGCGUAAAGAGCGUGUAGGCGGCCAGGUAGGUCUGCUGUGAAAACUCGAGGCUCAACCUCGAGACGCCGAUGGAAACCAUCUGACUAGAGUCCGGAAGGGGAGAGUGGAAUUCCUGGUGUAGCGGUGAAAUGCGCAGAUAUCAGGAAGAACACCCGUGGCUAAGGCGGCUCUCUAGUACGGUACUGACGCUGAGACGCGAAAGCGUGGGGAGCGAACAGG
rnacentral:rRNA from 1 species